AGAGUUUGAUCCUGGCUCAGGAUGAACGCUGGCGGCGUGCUUAACACAUGCAAGUCGAACGAUCCUUCGGGAUAGUGGCGGACGGGUGAGUAACGCGUGGGAAUCUGCCCUCAGGAGGGGGAUAACGGCUGGAAACGGCCGCUAAUACCCCAUAUGCCGAGAGGUGAAAUGAAUUUCGCCUGAGGAUGAGCCCGCGUCUGAUUAGCUAGUUGGUGGGGUAAAGGCCUACCAAGGCAACGAUCAGUAGCUGGUCUGAGAGGAUGAUCAGCCACACUGGGACUGAGACACGGCCCAGACUCCUACGGGAGGCAGCAGUGGGGAAUUUUCCGCAAUGGGCGAAAGCCUGACGGAGCAACGCCGCGUGAGGGAUGAAGGCCUCUGGGCUGUAAACCUCUUUUCUCAAGGAAGAAGACCUGACGGUACUUGAGGAAUAAGCCACGGCUAAUUCCGUGCCAGCAGCCGCGGUAAUACGGGAGUGGCAAGCGUUAUCCGGAAUUAUUGGGCGUAAAGCGUCCGCAGGCGGCCUUGUAAGUCUGUUGUUAAAGCGUGGAGCUCAACUCCAUUUAAGCAAUGGAAACUACAAGGCUGGAGUGUGGUAGGGGCAGAGGGAAUUCCCGGUGUAGCGGUGAAAUGCGUAGAUAUCGGGAAGAACACCAGUGGCGAAGGCGCUCUGCUGGGCCAUAACUGACGCUCAUGGACGAAAGCCAGGGGAGCGAAAGGGAUUAGAUACCCCUGUAGUCCUGGCCGUAAACGAUGAACACUAGGUGUCGGGGGAAUCGACCCCCUCGGUGUCGUAGCCAACGCGUUAAGUGUUCCGCCUGGGGAGUACGCACGCAAGUGUGAAACUCAAAGGAAUUGACGGGGGCCCGCACAAGCGGUGGAGUAUGUGGUUUAAUUCGAUACAACGCGAAGAACCUUACCAGGGUUUGACAUCCUGCGAACCCCUGAGAAAUCGGGGGGUGCCUUCGGGAGCGCAGAGACAGGUGGUGCAUGGCUGUCGUCAGCUCGUGUCGUGAGAUGUUGGGUUAAGUCCCGCAACGAGCGCAACCCACGUCUUUAGUUGCCAGCAUUCAGUUGGGCACUCUAGAGAGACCGCCGGUGAUAAACCGGAGGAAGGUGUGGAUGACGUCAAGUCAUCAUGCCCCUUACAUCCUGGGCUACACACGUACUACAAUGCUACGGACAAAGGGCAGCAAGCUCGCGAGAGUUAGCAAAUCCCAUAAACCGUGGCUCAGUUCAGAUCGUAGGCUGCAACUCGCCUACGUGAAGGAGGAAUCGCUAGUAAUCGCAGGUCAGCAUACUGCGGUGAAUACGUUCCCGGGCCUUGUAC
rnacentral:rRNA from 1 species